rfam:Tatumella morbirosei strain LMG 23360 Contig5, whole genome shotgun sequence.
GCAAUACUACGUCCCCUUAUGGGGGAAAGUAAACGAUGACCCAUAGGGAACUCCGGGGUAAAAUACGUAUCAAAAUGAAAAACUGACGCUUGCCUGUGGUUAAACAUGCCCCGGGCAGGCUUGUUUU